GAACAGUUGGGACCCCAGGAGGCAGCGGCAGUUGUCCUUGAGCUCUGCAGACGGUGCUGAUGCCAAGUGCACCCAAGAGGAAGGAAAAUACUGAAGUGAAACAGGAAGCAUGGCCUGUGUCAUCCAGAAGGUGCCAGAACCUGAGCUGCCUUCCAGGAAGCUGCACACUUGGGCUUCAGGCCCUGACUACCAGGUCCCCAGACGAGGCCUUUCCUGGAGGUCUUGGCUGCGGCAGUGGGAGCGGCCACUACACGCUAGAGUGGGCAGCCUGUGCUGCCUCUGGUGUCACCGAAGCCCCCUGUGAGAAGGCAGAGAAGGAGGCCAAGCUGGUCACCCAGAGGUCAGGAGAGCAGAGAGAGACCGUGAAACCAUUUGACCUGAACUACGGACAUGGGUAUCAGCUCAAAUCUUCAGGGGAAGAAGGAUCCAGGCAAAAUGAGAUGCCAUCAUUGAAAAUUGUGGAUACAGCCCUGGGGAGGAGAGUAAGGUGGGCUCUGGUGGGCAAAGACUUCAUUGAGAUCCUGACCAAGAAGCAGCACCGCCUGUUGGAGGAGGAGAGGCAAAAGAAGGAGCAAGCCCUCCAGCCCUCCCCCUUCAGGCUUCGACCAGUGACUCCUGGACCAAAGCUGCCACUGCCUUCACCAGCACCAAGCCUGGCUCUGCUGAGGCUGCCACUGCCCAGCAGAUCCCAAUUUCCCUUCCCACGUCUCUGCAAGCUCAAGCCCAGCUGGGACAGAGGGGAGGGCUGCCCGUCUCCCAGUCUCAGGAGAUCUUCAGCUCCUUACAGCCCUUCAGAUACUUUCUUUGGGGCUUUCAAAAGACAGGUGGAGCUAGUGAUACAGAAUCCGCCUGCCAAUGCAAGAGAAGCAAUGGACACAGUUUCAAUCCCUGGGUGGGGAAGAUCCCCUGGAGAAGGAAAUGGGAACCCAUUCCAGUAUUCUUGCCUGGAAAAUUCCGUGGACAGAGGAGCCAGGCAGGGUCCAGUUCAUGGGUAG
rnacentral:lncRNA from 1 species